rnacentral:rRNA from 1 species
CAGUCGCCACGGAAUACGAAGGGGGCUAGCGUUGUUCGGAAUUACUGGGCGUAAAGCGCACGUAGGCGGCUUGGUAAGUUAGAGGUGAAAGCCUGGAGCUCAACUCCAGAAUUGCCUUUAAGACUGCCGAGCUAGCAGGUGAGAGAGGUAAGUGGAAUUCCGAGUGUAGAAGUGAAAUUCGCAGAUAUUCGGAAGAACACCAGUGGCGAAGGCGACUAUCUGGGCCAACACUGACACUGAGGCACGAAAGCGUGGGGAGCAAGCAGGAUUAGAUACCCCUGUAGUCCCUGUCUCUUAUACC